rnacentral:miRNA from 1 species
UUCCUCUCGGCCGGUGAGAGUGUACACUCUCAUUGACCGAGAGGGAUUCUCUCACCGGCCGAGAGGGAUUCCUCCCGGCCGCUGAGAGUGUAUACUCUCACCGGCCGAGAGGGA